rnacentral:lncRNA from 1 species
CCUGUGUGAUAUGUAGCACAAGAGGACCAUUUGGUGAGCAAUCACCUGUGAGUUACACUGAACUUAACAAAACCCUAGUUAUGAACUUCAUGUCCGACACUCGGGCUGUGGCCUGGAGAUGUGGACCCCAGACUGCUCGGAGGCGAUGGCUGUGAGUCUUGUGACUCAGCCCCAACUUCAACCGAAGCUGUGGCAAGAGGCAAGCCGACACUUUCGACGUCGUCGUUGUUUAGAUGGCUGCCAUCUGAAUUCAUGCUGUUGUUCUCCAAGGUUUUUCUGGCGCUAAGAAGUACCAUCUUCUUGGUACUAGCUUGGAGCUUUGCAGAUAUGUUUUGGCUUGUUUUUUUCAUUUGCCUUCCAACAGUAGGUUGAAUUUGCUGGGUAAAAAAUAAUAGCACCAGGAGGCAGGAAAAGAAAAGCUUAGGGGCCAUAGAGAGAGAGAAGC